rnacentral:rRNA from 1 species
UACGUAGGGCGCAAGCGUUAUCCGGAAUUAUUGGGCGUAAAGAGCUCGUAGGCGGUUUGUCGCGUCUGCCGUGAAAGUCCGGGGCUCAACUCCGGAUCUGCGGUGGGUACGGGCAGACUAGAGUGAUGUAGGGGGAGACUGGAAUUCCUGGUGUAGCGGUGAAAUGCGCAGAUAUCAGGAGGAACACCGAUGGCGAAGGCAGGUCUCUGGGCAUUAACUGACGCUGAAGAGCGAAAGCAUGGGGGAGCGAACAGG